rnacentral:ncRNA from 2 species
GUGCGUUCUCAGGGCGGGGUGAAAGUCCCCACCGGCGGUAUGCAAUGCAAGUUGCGAGCCCGCGAGCGCCUUCCUCGAGGAAGGGUCAGCAGAUCAGGUGCGAUGCCUGAGCCGACGGUCACAGUCCGGAUGAAAGAGAACGCGC